UACGGGGGGAGCAAGCGUUGUUCGGAUUUACUGGGCGUAAAGGGCGCGUAGGCGGUCAGCACAAGUCAGUUGUGAAAUCUCCGAGCUUAACUCGGAAAGGUCAACUGAUACUGUGCGACUAGAGUGCAGAAGGGGCAACUGGAAUUCUCGGUGUAGCGGUGAAAUGCGUAGAUAUCGAGAGGAACACCUGCGGCGAAGGCGGGUUGCUGGGCUGACACUGACGCUGAGGCGCGAAGGCCAGGGGAGCAAACGGG
rnacentral:rRNA from 1 species